rnacentral:rRNA from 1 species
GUGCCAGCAGCCGCGGUAAUACGGAGGGGGCUAGCGUUGUUCGGAAUUAUUGGGCGUAAAGGGUCCGCAGGUGGCAGUUCAAGUCUGCAGUCAAAGGUCGGGGCUCAACCCCGGAAAGGCUGUGGAAACUGAACAGCUAGAGUACGGUAGGGGCAGAGGGAAUUCCCAGUGUAGCGGUGAAAUGCGUAGAGAUUGGGAAGAACACCGGUGGCGAAAGCGCGCUGCUAGGCCGAAACUGACACUGAGGGACGAAAGCUAGGGGAGCGAAAGGGAUUAGAUACCCCUGUAGUCCUAGCUGUAAACGAGGGAGACUAGGUGUGGCCUGUAUCGACCCGGGCCGUGCCGGAGCUAACGCGUUAAGUCUCCCGCCUGGGGAGUACGCACGCAAGUGUGGAACUUAAAGGAAUUGACGGGG